rnacentral:rRNA from 1 species
GUGGGGAAUCUUGCGCAAUGGGCGAAAGCCUGACGCAGCCAUGCCGCGUGAAUGAUGAAGGUCUUAGGAUUGUAAAAUUCUUUCACCGGGGACGAUAAUGACGGUACCCGGAGAAGAAGCCCCGGCUAACUUCGUGCCAGCAGCCGCGGUAAUACGAAGGGUGCAAGCGUUAUCCGGAAUCACUGGGUUUAAAGGGUACGUAGGCGGUUAAUUAAGUCAGUAGUGAAAGACUGUCGCUCAACGACGGAUGUGCUAUUGAUACUGGUUAACUUGAAUCAGGUUAGAGUUGGCGGAAUGGGUCAUGUAGCGGUGAAAUGCUUAGAUAUGACUUGGAACACCGAUAGCGAAGGCAGCUGACUGAGCCUUGAUUGACGCUGAGGUACGAAAGUGUGGGUAGCGAACAGGAUUAGAAACCCUGGUAGUCC